rnacentral:tRNA from 2 species
CCGCCAUGCCGUGGGUGUCGCCCUUGAGGUGGGCGGCGAGGCUGUUGGCCUUGUCGUCGAUCGACUCGACGCUGGCGAG